UACGAAGGGGGCUAGCGUUGCUCGGAAUUACUGGGCGUAAAGGGCGCGUAGGCGGCUUGGCAAGUGGAUGGUGAAAUCCCUCGGCUUAACCGAGGAACUGCCGUCCAAACUGCUUUGCUUGAGGCCGGGAGAGGCGAGUGGAAUUCCCAGUGUAGCGGUGAAAUGCGUAGAUAUUGGGAAGAACACCAACGGCGAAGGCAGCUCGCUGGGACGGUACUGACGCUGAGACGCGAAAGCGUGGGGAGCGAACAGG
rnacentral:rRNA from 1 species